GAUGAACGCUGGCGGCGUGCCUAAUACAUGCAAGUCGAGCGAACAGAUGAGGAGCUUGCUCCUCUGACGUUAGCGGCGGACGGGUGAGUAACACGUGGAUAACCUACCUAUAAGACUGGGAUAACUUCGGGAAACCGGAGCUAAUACCGGAUAAUAUAUUGAACCGCAUGGUUCAAUAGUGAAAGACGGUUUUGCUGUCACUUAUAGAUGGAUCCGCGCCGCAUUAGCUAGUUGGUAAGGUAACGGCUUACCAAGGCAACGAUGCGUAGCCGACCUGAGAGGGUAUCGGCCACACUGGAACUGAGACACGGUCCAGACUCCUACGGGAGGCAGCAGUAGGGAAUCUUCCGCAAUGGGCGAAAGCCUGACGGAGCAACGCCGCGUGAGUGAUGAAGGUCUUCGGAUCGUAAAACUCUGUUAUUAGGGAAGAACAAAUGUGUAAGUAACUAUGCACGUCUUGACGGUACCUAAUCAGAAAGCCACGGCUAACUACGUG
rnacentral:rRNA from 1 species